rnacentral:rRNA from 1 species
UACAGAGGUCUCAAGCGUUGUUCGGAUUCAUUGGGCGUAAAGGGUGCGUAGGUGGCGGGGUAAGUCAGGUGUGAAGUUUCGGAGCUUAACUCCGAAACUGCAUUUGAUACUGCCUUGCUUGAGGACUGGAGAGGAGACUGGAAUUCACGGUGUAGCAGUGAAAUGCGUAGAUAUCGUGAGGAAGACCAGUGGCGAAGGCGGGUCUCUGGACAGUUCCUGACACUGAGGCACGAAGGCCAGGGGAGCAAACGGG